GCUGGGACGCGGCGGGGUGGAGGCCGACUGGGUGGCCGCAGGGGAGGGAGCUUUGCGGGCGGCUGAGCGGCAGCGGACCCCAGCCGGGAGCGGUGGCGAGCAGGGGGCGGGAGUUGGGGUGGGGAGUAGGGGAGGGGCGCGGGCUGCGCAAGGUGAGGGUCCCCUGGCUCAGCCGGGGUGUCGCGGGGUGCAGCCGGGGUACCACGGGCGCCAACCCGCGAGGGUGGGAGAGGACGAUCGUGAGCGCUGGACGCUCGGAGGCAGCCCCGGCUGCAAAGUCUUUUAAAAGUUUCUUCUCCCCGGUGGAGCCGUGUGUCAGAUCUGAACAGCCAAUCUGCGACAGACGUGACGUCAGGCAGCAAAUCCUAAUUGGGGAAAGCUUGAGAUGAGCCGGGAGAACGAGCCACCACCCUCCGCAUCCAGAGAUUGGGGCUGUGGGUCGGGUGGACUGAGGUCCCUGCUCCCCGAGUCCUCGGUUCCCAGUCCCAGGAGAAGACAAAGGGCUCAGAACGAAAUACUGGUGAGUGUUUGAUCGGAGAAGCCUGGGCCUCCAGCUGCCCGAACACUCCCUUUCUUCAAGAGCAGCGUCUUAGAAUCACUGUCAUCCAAGAAAUACACCGGGGCCCCAGCCUAAAAUGAUUACCAAUUACUACAGGGCACAGGCACUUCACCUCUACUCUCAGAAAUCCUGCUUCCUCAACACACACCAACUGGGUGAAAAGUCCCUUCCCACCCUAACAGCUUGUCCCUCUGUACAAGAUAAUUCCAAUUCAGCCUCAGAGCCAGGUCAAAAUGAACCAUAAUGAGGGGGAGAGCCAAGACACUGUCUCACGUCUGCAUCUUUGGGUUCUGUAUGAAUUAUAAGACAAGGGAACAAAUGUCUGUCAAGGGUCUGCUGAGCAAAAGGCAUACAGAUAUACAGACAGCAUCCUUGUAUCUAUCUGGAGCUACAAAGUAUCCCAAGGCACAAAGCCUUUGUGUUAAGGAAACCUAUCUGGCUGGGGAAACAAGAGCUAAAUAAAGCCUUUAAGAAGAUAAACAACUGAAUUAAGUAACACUUAGAGAAAAGUAACAGAAUUUGUUACUCACAAGCCAGGAUUUGAUCUCCACGAUCCUACGUCAUAGUAUAGCCGAUAAUUCUUUGUCAUCUUGUGGACAAUUCACAAGAGAAAAAAAAAAAACAUUUCCUAGCUACA